rnacentral:rRNA from 1 species
UGGGGAAUAUUGCACAAUGGGCGCAAGCCUGAUGCAGCCAUGCCGCGUGUGUGAAGAAGGCCUUCGGGUUGUAAAGCACUUUCAGCGGGGAGGAAGGCGUUAAGGUUAAUAACCUUGGCGAUUGACGUUACCCGCAGAAGAAGCACCGGCUAACUCCGUGCCAGCAGCCGCGGUAAUACGGAGGGUGCAAGCGUUAAUCGGAAUUACUGGGCGUAAAGCGCACGCAGGCGGUCUGUCAAGUCGGAUGUGAAAUCCCCGGGCUCAACCUGGGAACUGCAUUCGAAACUGGCAGGCUAGAGUCUUGUAGAGGGGGGUAGAAUUCCAGGUGUAGCGGUGAAAUGCGUAGAGAUCUGGAGGAAUACCGGUGGCGAAGGCGGCCCCCUGGACAAAGACUGACGCUCAGGUGCGAAAGCGUGGGGAGCAAAGAGG